CCAAUUUGCUACAAAGUUAUUUAUCUGCACAAACUUUUCACCUAUGAAUAGGUUUAUUUCUUUCCUAAGAGAAAAAUGGAAUCUCCAGUUAGCUCGAAUUGUAGAGUAUCAACCAGUUUCCUAUGGAAAAGUACCAGGCACUGAUGAGAACAGGGGUGGGAGGAGAAAAUAUUUAAAUGUAGAAACAAGAAAGAUUGGUGCUGAUCCCCCAUGUGAAUAUGAGGAGGCAUUUCACCUACUGAGAAGAACUAGGGCUUCUUUGGGGACUAUAAAACACAUCAAUGGAAAUUCCUAAUCUGAUGUUCUCCAAACUUUCACCAGUAGUACUUCCUAGACAAAGCCAAGAAAAUCCUUCCCAUGAGAAUAUAUUAAGGUGUAGGGUCUCCACCAGAAGUUCUCAGUGACUGAUGAAGAGUUAGUGUAAGACCAGCAGGUCUGCCUGGCCAAACUGUGUGCCUCAGCCUUCUUACAACUCCUCCUGGCCUACUUCUGAGAAAAAGAGACCAAGGAAAAGCAAACCAGCCAAAAGACUCACCAUCCAAUCAGGCACAGCAAAAGCAGAGGUAGUGCCUGUAUUACCGUCCCACUUCUCCAUGCUGUAGGCAGUUAAAUGAAUCCUGGUGAGGAAUGGAAAUAGGUCCUGGAUAUGCCAGGGAUGGCUAGGGUAGGUGCUUAAUCCCUGCCAAGAACCGCCAAACACCUCGUUAUUCAAGAGGUUCAAAACAGCCUCUCUGACUGCACCCCUGUCCUUCCCACAGAGGCUUCUAAUGCAAAUGAAGCUCUUUAGACAAGUAAUACACAGGCUGCUCCAGUAACCAAAGGUUUCGGCUUUAGAUUUAAAUCCAGGGCCAGAUGCUAGGUUCCAAACCCAGAGACUGUUCUUGCCCCAAGGAGCUCGCCCAGUGCAACCCAAACACUGUGCCCCACCUCCCCCGGAGCUUACUUUCUGCCGCUAAACAAUGCCAAGUUGUCAGGCGCCCGCUCCCUUUUUCCUCUGGGUGUCACUUCUCCCCCCGCCCCUUGGGACACGUCACUGGGAGAGCUGAUACCAAGAUCAAUAAGGAUCAAGGUCAACAAGACACUCACUGCUCAAGAGCUGCUCAGCUGGCUAGUGUGGCAGAGGCGGCCUCCUGGAAAGGAGGAAGCGUAGUCCAGCUAACACCAGGAUCCAAAAUGUCUUGCAGGAGAUCUGGGGAAAUAAACUAACGAAGCUGUUUGGGGAGAGAUAGAAAGUUGAUCCUUAAGCAGAGACUGGCUGAAUUAAACAAAGUUCCUGAGACAGAGAGGAGGAUAAGACUGAGGAGGUAUGAUCACCCCAGUACAGGCUUGUUCCAAUUACUUAUUGUCUCUCAAUUCUGGACUACAGGAAGUUAGAAAAUUCAUCUCUCUCCAAACAUUUUUCCAUAGCAUUCAUUCCCUCCCUCUGCACCCCCAAUUGUUUCCUUUGGUACUUUCAUCUUGGUUUAAAAAUAAUUCUUAUGGAAACUAAUGACUAUCAGUUGGAGAAUGGCUGAAGAAGUUAUGGUAUAUGAAUGUUA